GAGGCAGUAUCUCAGAUGGUAGAGAAUGGGACUUGUCAGCCCCAGGUCGUCGGUUCGAAUCCGACCUUCUUCU
rnacentral:tRNA from 1 species